rnacentral:rRNA from 1 species
GAUGAACGCUAGCGGCAGGCUUAAUACAUGCAAGUCGUGGGGCAGCAUGAGUGUAGCAAUACGUUUGAUGGCGACCGGCAAACGGGUGCGGAACACGUACAGAACCCUCCUUCAAGCGGGGCAUAGCCCAGAGAAAUUUGGAUUAAUACCCCAUAAUAUAAUGAAGAGGCAUCUCUUUGUUAUUAAAGAUUUAUCACUUGAAGAUGGCUGUGCGGCUGAUUAGGUAGUUGGCGGGGUAACGGCCCACCAAGCCUGCGAUCAGUAACUGGUGUGAGAGCACGACCAGUCACACGGGCACUGAGACACGGGCCCGACUCCUACGGGAGGCAGCAGUAAGGAAUAUUGGUCAAUGGACGCAAGUCUGAACCAGCCAUGCCGCGUGGAGGAUGAAGGUCCUCUGGAUUGUAAACUUCUUUUAUAUGGGACGAAAAAAGGCUUUUCUAAGUCGUCUGACGGUACCAUAUGAAUAAGCACCGGCUAACUCCGUGCCAGCAGCCGCAGUAAUAC